GAUGAACGCUGGCGGCGUGCCUAAUACAUGCGAGUAGAACGCUGAAGGAAGGAGCUUGCUCUUUCCGGAUGAGUUGCGAACGGGUGAGUAACGCGUAGGUAACCUGCCUGGUAGCGGGGGAUAACUAUUGGAAACGAUAGCUAAUACCGCAUAACAGUAGAUGUUGCAUGAUAUCUACUUAAAAGGUGCAAUUGCACCACUACCAGAUGGACCUGCGUUGUAUUAGCUAGUUGGUGAGGUAACGGCUCACCAAGGCGACGAUACAUAGCCGACCUGAGAGGGUGGUCGGCCACACUGGGACUGAGACACGGCCCAGACUCCUACGGGAGGCAGCAGUAGGGAAUCUUCGGCAAUGGACGGAAGUCUGACCGAGCAACGCCGCGUGAGUGAAGAAGGUUUUCGGAUCGUAAAGCUCUGUUGUAAGAGAAGAACGGGUGGGAGAGUGGAAAGUUCACACUGUGACGGUAUCUUACCAGAAAGGGACGGCUAACUACGUG
rnacentral:rRNA from 1 species